GAUGGGAGGGGGGUCUCUCAGCCCAGAUUGCAAGAGGGUGCAGGCCAGGCCAAGGGACCCCACCAGUGCAUG
rnacentral:pre_miRNA from 1 species